rnacentral:misc_RNA from 1 species
AGUCUCUUACUUCAAAAUCAUAGGACGUUCAUACAAACUUGCAACCCCCAUUUCACCCCCUUAGGGGUCGAGUUUCGUAAAAUCCGUUCUUAGCGGGUGUCUACGCCCUAUAAGAAACCAACCUGCCAAAUGUCAAAUUUGUAGCUGUUAUAGUUUCGGAGAUUUCGUGAUGAGUGAGUCAACCUACCAUCCCCCGUUUCAACCCCAAAAGGGAGGUUAUUUUUAAAGAUACAUUAUUUGUACACUUUCUCAUCAUCUAUAGAGCAUACAUUUUAAAUUUCAAGUCACUUACUUCAAAAACAUAGGACUUUCAUACAAACUUCCAACCCCCGUUUUACC